AACCCAUUUCGGAAAUUCAGAACUUCGGCAAUCGCUACUUCGUCAAUUGUCUACCCAAAACCCAUACCUGAAAAUGAGAGAAAUCUCAAUGUAUCCUUCCUGGUAAAAUAUUUUAUGAAUAAAUAAAUGAAUAUCUGCUUAAAAUCCCCAAUGUAACCAUCACAUAGCUUUUAUUUUAGUCUAUUACACACCCUGCACCCUUCUCUUGGCUUACCUAUCACUUCUGUUUCAGGUUGCAAGCAGGUGGGAAGAUCCUCAAAACCUACUGUAUUAGUCUAUGUCUCUCUGUCAGAAAGUUUUGGUUAUUAUACCAUUUACUCAUUGGAUCUUGCACUAUCGAAUAUGUAUGUAAAUAACUGAUACACACCUAUACCUAUGACUAGAAAUUAGUUUUGAAAAUUUUCCCUUAUUACACAGGUACGGUUAAUAUUCAUGACGGUGUGAAAGCACAAACCUUUUGGAUGAACAAUUCCUCUGCACGCCGACGGUUCUUAUCGGCCAGGGCUUCAUAGUCUGCCCUCAUAUCAUUGAGAAUCUUUGUCAGGUCCACACCAGGAGCCACGUCCAUCUCAACAUUCACUUGUCCAGCAGCACUUUGAUUAAGGACAGCAACUUCCUUAGAGAUCAUAAACAAUAUAAUACUUAACAUUGUGACAUAAGUCUGUACUCACCUUGUGAUGUUACUAGCUAUAAACACAGAACCAAAUAGAAAGAAUAACAAGUAGUUUGUUUAUAAUAUUAGUCCAUGCAUGUUACAGGGCUGGCCCCAUUCAUGACUUAGAGACUAAUAAACUGCCAGCAGGUAGGUUCAGAGUGGACAUACGGCCUGACCUCAGGAGGACUGACAUAUUUUUUAGCUGUACAGUAGAUAAGAUAUAGCUCUCAUACAAACAUCAUGCCUAUUACUGUUUUAUUGUUGAAAGGCUAUGUGAGACAUUAAUUUAGAGUUUGUGAUACUGUGUAUUUUAUUGUCAUGAAUCUCUAUGCUACACUCAUAUACACUGCUCAUUACUGUGAGUCCAGUAGGUCAUCUCUCCAGCUCUAUCUAGAUGGGCCGAAUGGUUCUUAUCUGCCGUCACAUUCUAUGUUUCUAUAAGAUAAGGCCAAGGACUAAUGAGAGUAUUUAGAGAAUUGGGCAAACUAGAUGGGCCGAAUGGUUCUUAUCUGCCGUCACAUUCUAUGUUUUUUUUCUUCCUCAUUCCCCAAUUUCCCUUCUUUCUCUCUCCUCAGUCCCAUUCCCCUCUCUCCUCAAUUUAGUCUCUCUAUCCUCAGGCUAAUCCCUGUCUCCUCAGCCUCACCUCUCUUGCCCUAUCUUUCUUUCCCCCAUUCCAAGCACCAGCCCCAUCCCUUUCUCUCUCAAUCCCUGUCUUUCCUCCCUCUCUUGCCCAGUUUUGUUCUGUCAAUUCCCACAUAUUACAGCCCCCUGCAUACUCAAAAAGUAUUCCCUUUAUCCCAAUGUCCUAGUACUGCUUCUAUUUAAAAGCUUUAUCAUUCUUCGCUUACGUACCAACAAAGAGCAUCUCUAACGUGGGUUAAUGUAUGUGGAUGGUUACUGAGGUAGCAGGUGGGCUUAAAACGUCAAUUCUCCUAUUG